rnacentral:rRNA from 1 species
UACGUAGGGUGCGAGCGUUGCCCGGAAUUAUUGGGCGUAAAGGGCGCGUAGGCGGUUCUUCAAGUCUCUCGUGAAAUCCCUCGGCUUAACUGAGGACGUGCGGGAGAUACUGAAGGGCUUGAGUCCGGAAGAGGGUGGUGGAAUUCCCAGUGUAGCGGUGAAAUGCGUAGAUAUUGGGAGGAACACCGGUGGCGAAGGCGGCCACCUGGGCCGGAACUGACGCUGAGGCGCGAAAGCGUGGGGAGCAAACGGG